rnacentral:rRNA from 1 species
ACAGCAGCAGCCACGGGAAUACGUAGGUGGUAAGCGUUGUCCGGAAUUAUUGGGCGUAGAAGGCUCGCAGGCGGUUUCUUAAGUCUGAUGUGAAAGCCCCCGGCUCAACCGGGGAGGGUCAUUGGAAACUGGGAAACUUGAGUGCAGAAGAGGAGAGUGGAAUUCCACGUGUAGCGGUGAAAUGCGUAGAGAUGUGGAGGAACACCAGUGGCGAAGGCGACUCUCUGGUCUGUAACUGUCGCUGAGGAGCGAAAGCGUGGGGAGCGAACAGGAUUAGAUACCCCUGUAGUCCCUGUCUCUUAUAC